rnacentral:rRNA from 1 species
AUGCGGCCUAUGCCGCCUCCACUUAAGCGGGCGAGGCGUGGCCCACCCGUCAGUGGCCCCUGCCCACUGGCCGGCCGACAGGCGGGGCCCAGCUGCAGUGGGCACCAGCUUCUGAGGGACCCCCGGCACAACAAGGGGCUGGCCUUCUCCGAGGCGGAGCGCGACGCGCACUACCUCCGGGGCCUGCUCCCGCCGGCCAUCGUCUCCCAGGAGCACCAGGAGAAGAAGAUCAUGCACAACCUCCGCAGUUACACCGUGCCCCUGCACCGCUACAUCGCCAUGAUGGACCUCCAGGAGAGGAACGAGAGGCUCUUCUACAAGCUCCUCAUCGACAACGUCGAGGAGCUGCUCCCCGUCGUCUACACGCCCGUCGUCGGCGAGGCCUGCCAGAAGUACGGCAGCAUCUACCGCCGCCCGCAGGGGCUCUACAUCAGCCUCAAGGACAAGGGCAAGGUGCUCGAGGUGCUCAAGAACUGGCCUGAGAGGAGCAUCCAGGUCAUUGUCGUCACCGACGGCGAGCGCAUUUUGGGGCUCGGAGAUCUGGGCUGCCAGGGUAUGGGUAUUCCGGUUGGCAAACUGUCUCUGUACACCGCCCUCGGAGGAGUUCGCCCAUCAGCUUGCCUGCCAAUUACGAUCGAUGUUGGCACCAACAACGAGACAUUGCUCAACGACGAGUACUACAUCGGGCUCCGUCAACGGCGUGCUACCGGCGAGGAAUACCAUGAGCUUCUUCAAGAGUUCAUGAAUGCAGUCAAGCAAAACUACGGCGAGAAAGUCCUGGUCCAGUUUGAGGACUUUGCCAACCACAAUGCAUUCGAUUUGCUCGCAAAGUACAGCAAGAGCCAUCUCGUCUUCAACGAUGAUAUUCAGGGCACAGCAUCAGUGGUCCUCGCAGGCCUCUUGGCGGCCCUGAGGAUGAUCGGUGGAGGCCUUGUGGAUCAGACUUACCUCUUCCUUGGUGCUGGAGAGGCUGGAACUGGCAUUGCAGAACUCAUUGCUCUUGAGAUGUCGAAACACACUGAACUCCCGGUGGACGACUGCCGCAAGAAGAUCUGGCUGGUGGACUCCAAGGGUCUGCUUGUCGAGUCCAGGAAAGAGUCUCUGCAGCACUUCAAGAAGCCGUUCGCUCAUGAGCAUGAAGAACUGAAGACCCUGCUGGAGGCCGUCCAGUCCAUCAAGCCGACCGUGCUGAUUGGAACCUCCGGCGUCGGGAAGACCUUCACCCAGGAAGUGAUCGAGGCCAUGGCCUCCUUCAACGAGAAACCCGUCAUCUUCUCGCUGUCGAACCCGACGUCGCACUCGGAGUGCACGGCCGAGGAGGCCUACACCUGGAGCAAGGGCACGGCGGUGUUCGCGAGCGGCAGCCCGUUCGACCCCGUGGAGUACGAGGGGAAGACGUUCGUGCCCGGGCAGUCCAACAACGCCUACGUGUUCCCCGGCUUCGGCCUCGGCGUCGUCAUCUCCGGCGCCAUCCGCGUCCACGACGACAUGCUCCUCGCCGCCUCGGAGGCGCUGGCGGAGGAGGCGACCCAGGAGAACUUCGACAAGGGGCUUAUCUUCCCGCCCUUCACCAACAUCCGCAAGAUCUCGGCCAGCAUCGCCGCCAAGGUGGCCGCCAAGGCCUACGACCUGGGUCUGGCCAGCCGGCUGCCGCGGCCGGACGACCUGGUCAAGUACGCCGAGAGCUGCAUGUACACCCCGCUCUACCGCAGCUACAGGUGA